ACUAACACCUCUGUCACACACACUCCUGAGGUUCACUAACACCUCUGUCACACACACUCCUGAGGUUCACUAACACCUCUGUCACACACACUCCUGAGGUUCACUAACACCUCUGUCACACACACUCCUGAGGUUCACUAACACCUCUGCCACACACACUCCUGAGGUUCACUAACACCUCUGCCACACACACUCCUGAGGUUCACUAACACCUCUGCCACACACACUCCUGAGGUUCACUAACACCUCUCUCACACACACUCCUGAGGUUCACUAACACCUCUGCCACACACACUCCUGAGGUUCACUAACACCUCUGCCACACACACUCCUGAGGUUCACUAACACCUCUGUCACACACACUCCUGAGGUUCACUAACACCUCUGUCACACACACUCCUGAGGUUCACUAACACCUCUGCCACACACACUCCUGAGGUUCACUAACACCUCUGUCACACACGCUCCUGAGGUUCACUAACACCUCUGUCACACACGCUCCUGAGGUUCACUAACACCUCUGUCACACACGCUCCUGAGGUUCACUAACACCUCUGUCACACACGCUCCUGAGGUUCACUAACACCUCUGUCACAUACACUCCUGAGGUUCACUAACACCUCUGCCACAUACACUCCUGAGGUUCACUAACACCUCUGCCACACACACUCCUGAGGUUCACUAACACCUCUGUCACACACACUCCUGAGGUUCACUAACACCUCUGUCACACACACUCCUGAGGUUCACUAACACCUCUGUCACAUACACUCCUGAGGUUCACUAACACCUCUGUCACAUACACUCCUGAGGUUCACGCACAACUCUGUCACAUACACUCCUGAGGUGCACUAACAUCUCUGUCACAUACACACCUGGGGUUCACUAAUACCUCUGUCACAUACACUCCUGAGGUUCACUAACACCUCUGUCACAUACACUCCUGAGGUUCACUAACACCUCUGUCACAUACACUCCUGAGGUUCACUAACACCUCUGUCACAUACACCCCUGAGGUUCACUAACACCUCUGUCACACACACUCCUGAGGUUCACUAACACCUCUGUCACACACACUCCUGAGGUUCACUAACACCUCUGCCACAUACACUCCUGAGGUUCACACGUCUGUCACAUACACUCCUGAGGUUCACUAACACCUCUGUCACAUACACUCCUGAGGUUCACUAACACCUCUGUCACACACACUCCUGAGGUUCACUAACACCUCUGUCACAUACACUCCUGAGGUUCACUAACACCUCUGUCACACACACUCCUGAGGUUCACUAACACCUCUCUCACACACACUCCUGAGGUUCACUAACACCUCUCUCACACACACUCCUGAGGUUCUGAUAUAACUGCCUCAUGUCUCUUCCCUGGCAUAUUUCUUUGGGUGCCCUUUUCUCCCCCACUGGUAGCCUUUCUGCCUCUUGAGAAACCAUCUCCAUCAUCUUGUAGUAUGAAUCUUAUUUCUGAUGUGUUUAUGUUCUAGUAGAGUAUUUUGUAAUGGCAAAGGCUGUGUGGUCCUUCUAU
rnacentral:lncRNA from 1 species